GGCGAACGGGUGAGUAACACGUGGGCAAUCUGCCCUGCACUCUGGGACAAGCCCUGGAAACGGGGUCUAAUACCGGAUACGACCUGUCAAGGCAUCUUGGCGGGUGGAAAGCUCCGGCGGUGCAGGAUGAGCCCGCGGCCUAUCAGCUUGUUGGUGGGGUGAUGGCCUACCAAGGCGACGACGGGUAGCCGGCCUGAGAGGGCGACCGGCCACACUGGGACUGAGACACGGCCCAGACUCCUACGGGAGGCAGCAGUGGGGAAUAUUGCACAAUGGGCGAAAGCCUGAUGCAGCGACGCCGCGUGAGGGAUGACGGCCUUCGGGUUGUAAACCUCUUUCAGCAGGGAAGAAGCGAGAGUGACGGUACCUGCAGAAGAAGCGCCGGCUAACUACGUGCCAGCAGCCGCGGUAAUACGUAGGGCGCAAGCGUUGUCCGGAAUUAUUGGGCGUAAAGAGCUCGUAGGCGGCUUGUCGCGUCGGUUGUGAAAGCCCGGGGCUUAACCC
rnacentral:rRNA from 1 species